UACGGAGGGGGCUAGCGUUGUUCGGAAUUACUGGGCGUAAAGCGCACGUAGGCGGCUUUGUAAGUUAGAGGUGAAAGCCCGGGGCUCAACUCCGGAAUUGCCUUUAAGACUGCAUCGCUAGAAUUGUGGAGAGGUAAGUGGAAUUCCGAGUGUAGAGGUGAAAUUCGUAGAUAUUCGGAAGAACACCAGUGGCGAAGGCGACUUACUGGACACAUAUUGACGCUGAGGCGCGAAGGCUAGGGUAGCAAACAGG
rnacentral:rRNA from 1 species